AGUGGAAUGUUAAAAUUACAGCUAGACGAGAUUAUAAAAUUCUGAACAAGAGGAGACCAAAGAGAAGAAAUAAGAGCUAACUACUCCUUGUACAAGACAUCAUUACAACUUUCAGCCAACAGGGAUACUACUAUUGCUGAUGGUAGGGGAAUUCAUGGAUAUUGUUUUAGUGAAGAUUAAAGAUGUCCCUUCACUUAAAGAGGUUUUAAAGGAGUUGAAGAUGCUGAGAAAAUUUAUCCGUUUUGUGUCAGAAAGAUGCAGUAAUUAAUGAGCCUCAACAUACUUUCUUCAUUCAGGCUUUGGUGGUUGUAUUUUCCAGGCCAUGGCUAUGAAAAUCAAUUAGAUUUGGCUCUAGGUGAAAUCAAUGUUCUGGUUUUCUUGCAAAUGAAAAUUAAGCCCAUUGAACCAAGCAUACGCAAGAUCUAUGUUGCAGUCCUGCUAGCUUUAAAGUCAUAUAAUCCAAAUUAAUGAGCAGCGUGCAGCUGACUGUGUAGCCGGGUUUCUGGAGACUAUUCUACACAAUUUGGUGGAGCUAUCAAGUACUAAUACUGAAGGAGAUGCUCAACCUCUUGAGAGCCAACAUCAUCUAUAUGCCAAUACAACAUCUUAAAUUUCAUCUUGCAGAUAUCGACAGUUUUGUAGUUGAUGCCGGACUUGUUGUUCACUCGUUAUAUGAUAGCGAGGAAUUAGAGGACAUGGAUUUGGUUCUUGAUUUUCCUGGCAACAUUCAGCGUAUCAAGGCAAUCAUCUACUUCAUCAUUCGGAAGCCAUUUCUAUCUAACCUGCCGAUGAUUCAUGGAAUAGGCUAUGCUGAUAUCCUUUUAAACAAACUGGAGGAGUUCCAAGCCCGAUAUGCCGAUUCACUUGCUCCUUGAGAUAAUUCAGAAACAAUUUCUGAGCUUGCAAACUUUUCUAAAGGCUGCUGCUGAAAAGCGACACAAUACACAACAUUGUGCUACGCUAUUGAUUGGCAAAGCUUAUGAGGUCGAAUACAUUGUUGAUGCAGCUUGUAUCAGCAAAGAAGUCCCCUUACUGGUGUCUUGAGCGUUGGCUUAUAGAAAUCGUGGAGGAGAUUACUCUCAUCGGAGCAGAGCAAGAAAAAAAAAUGAUUGAGGACGCAAUGGAUUCUAACAUUGCUCGUACGUCAUCACAAUUGGAUAGGACUAGGACCCCAAAUAAGAAUGAAGAAAUUGUGGGUUUUGAGGAUGAGAUUACCAAGUUAAGAGCCCAGCUAAUAGCAGGAACAAGAGCCCGAGAUAUUAUCUCAAUCGUCGGUAUGCCGGCACAAGGUAAGACGACUUUGGCCUACAGGAUCUAUUCCGACAAGUCCGUUGUUGCUCACUUUGAUAUUCGUGCGCAGCACUCGGUGUCUCAAUUAUAUUCACGUACAGAAUUGUUAUGGUGAGGAUUCUCAACGUAGAAAAAAGCGCAACAAUGAAUUAGCUGAUGAUCUCCGCAAAGCUUUAUUGCCCAAAAGAUAUCUUAUCCUUCUUGAUGACGUGUGGGAAAAUAGUAUGUGGGAUGAUCUAAGAGGUUGUUUCCAAGAUGCGAAUAAUGGAAGUAGAAUCAUUAUAACCACAAGAAAUCAUGAAGUUGCCAAUUAUGCUAGAUGCCGGAGUGAUCCCCUUCAGCUUCGUAUGUUUAACGAUGAUGAAAGUUGGAAGUUACUGAAGAAGAAAGUGUUUGGUGAAGACAGCUGCCCUCCUCUCCUAGCAAACGUUGGGCGAAGAAUAGCAGAGAAGUGUGGAAAGCUGCCUCUUUCAAUUGCUCUGGUGGCUGGUAUUCUAGCAACAAUGGACAAAAAAGAAGAAUGUUGGGAACAUGUGGCUGCAAAUUUGGGUUCCCACAUUCACAAUGAUUCAAAGGCCAUUAUAGAACAAAGUUACCAUAUCAUCUCAAGUGUUGCUUUCUUUAUUUUGGGGCAUUUUUAGAGGAUAGCGUGAUUAAUGUUUCAAAGUUAUGGACAUCGAAAGGAUUUGUAAAGGGUUAUGACGGAAAGAGUCCGGAGGAUAUAGCGGAAUGUUACUUGGAGAAUCUUAUUGGAAGAAAUCUAGUAAUUAAUGCUAAGAGGAGUUUCGGAGGUAAAAUUAAAGCAUGUCGCAUCCAUGACCUGUUGCAUGAUUUCUGCAAAGGAAGAGAAUCUUCUACAGUGGAUAGAAAGUGGGCAGAGUGUCAAUCCUUCUUCACACAAGCAACUAGCUCAACGUCGCAUGUCCGUUUAUGUUGAAGUGGAUACUCUUGUAAAAUGGAGCUCGUCUUGCUCACUUGUUGGCUCUGUAAUUUUUCAUGCAAUUUACUACAGAUCUUCAAUUGACCAAGCGUCCCACAUUUUUCACAACUUCAAGUUUCUAAAAGCGUCCCGUAUUUCACUAUAAAUAAUGCAGAAGAAUCAUCCUUGAAACUUUGUAAUCUGGAAACUCUUUCCUCCCCGUAUUUUUCUGGUGUCGAGGAUGCGGAACUGAUGUUGAGAAAAACACCAAACAUUCGGAAGCUGAAAUGCAUAUUCUUGGGUGCUCGCAGCUAUGAGUAUCCUGUAUUGGAGUUGCCGUCAAGGCUUGAGACGCUGAAGAUUGUCCGGCCACACUUGCGCUGGAAUCUUUAUUCUCCAGAGCUUCACCUCGCAUUGUGCGUCUCCUCGCCAAAUAUCAAAAACUUGACAGUAGCCAACUAUUACCUGGUUCAUUAUAACUUAUCAAACUUUGGUCUGCUUCAGAAUCUUCAGGUGCUCAAACUGGUGGCAAUUUAUUUUCAACAAGCGCAAUGGGAGGUGAGGCAGUGACGAAUUCCUUCAACUCAAGGUCUUGAAACUAGUAGGCUGUGUUUGGUUUAACGAAUGGACUGUCGCCGAGGAUGCAUUUCCGAACCUUGAACAUUUGGUUUUGCAUGGAUGCAAACGUCUUAAGGCAAUCCCGUCCUGUUUCAGUGACAUUGGUUCUCUAUUGUCCAUUGAGGUAAAGAAAUGCAACGGAUCUGUCGUCAGUUCAGCCAGGGAAAUCUUGCAAACACAAGUUGAAGAUUAUCAGAAUUCUGGUUUCAAGCUCUUUAUACUCUGAAGAGAUGAGAAUUCGAAUUCAGGGAGGAGAAGAAAGAAUGUUAUUGAACUAUUUAAUGAAGGGAGGACUUUUUUUAAAAGCAUCACUACUCGUACAUGUAGCGUCUUUUUGUUCGUAGAUGUGAAGGUCCUAUCUCCAUAGCGACUGAUCUUACUUCGUUCCAGGAACUAUUUAAUGUCUCUUCUAUUUACAUAAUCUUACCGAGAAAUUAUACUGGAUUUAGGAAGUUAUGGGAACUUUGUAAUCAUUCCUAAUUGUAACCUAUUAGAGUGUCAAUAUCUAUGGAGUAGUCUAUCUCCAAAACUUUUGUCUAGUCAUGACAGCUGAAGCUGCUUCCCUUUGAUGUUCACAGCUUUGUUAUAGAAAACAGUUGAAUGAA